rnacentral:rRNA from 1 species
AAUCAACGCUGGCGGCGUGCCUAACACAUGCAAGUCGCACGAGAAAGGGUAGCAAUACCUGAGUACAGUGGCGCACGGGUGAGUAACACGUGAAUCAUCUACCUUCGAGUGGGGAAUAACUGAGAGAAAUCUUAGCUAAUACCGCAUAAUACCUACGGGUCAAAGCAGCAAUGCGCUUGAAGAGGAGUUCGCGGCAGAUUAGUUAGUUGGCGGGGUAAUGGCCCACCAAGACGAUGAUCUGUAUCCGGCCUGAGAGGGCGCACGGACACACUGGAACUGAAACACGGUCCAGACUCCUACGGGAGGCAGCAGUGGGGAAUUUUGCGCAAUGGGGGAAACCCUGACGCAGCAACGCCGCGUGGAGGAUGAAAUCCCUUGGGAUGUAAACUCCUUUCGAUAGGGAAGAUAAUGACGGUACCUAUAGAAGAAGCCCCGGCUAACUUCGUGCCAGCAGCCGCGGUAAUACGAGGGGGGCAAGCGUGGUUCGGAAUUAUUGGGCGUAAGGGGUGCGUAGGCGGUUUGACAAGUCU